CCCUUAGAUGUUCUGGGCCGCACGCGCGCUACACUGAUGCAUUCAACGAGUUUUGUUUGUUCCUUGGCCGAGAGGCCUGGGCAAUCUUUUGAACUUGCAUCGUGAUAGGGAUAGAUUAUUGCAAUUAUUAAUCUUGAACGAGGAAUUCCUAGUAAACGCAGAUCAUCAAUCUGCAUUGAUUACGUCCCUGCCCUUUGUACGCACCGCCCGUCGCACCUACCGAUUGAAUGGUCCGGUGAAGCCUCGGGAUUGUGGUUGGUUUCCUUUAUUGGAGAUUGAUUGCGAGAACUUGUCUAAACCUUAUCAUUUAGAGGAAGGUGAAGUCGUAACA
rnacentral:rRNA from 1 species